rnacentral:ncRNA from 1 species
UGCGCAGCGCGUGUUUGACCACGAUGUUCGGAAAGCUCACGCCUUUCAGACGCGCGGUGCGGAUGUAUUGCGCGGUCAUGACUUCGGCCAUCGAGGCGCGGGUCAUGCGCGCGAUAUAGCCCAUGCCGUAAAGUGAAAUGGUCAAAACGGGCAGGAAGAAGUUAUUGAAGGUUGCUUU